CCGCGUGAGCGAAGAAGCCCUUUGGGGUGUAAAGCUCUGUCGGCUGGAACGAAAAAAAAUGACGGUACCAGCAAAGGAAGCAUCGGCUAACUACGUGC
rnacentral:rRNA from 1 species